GAUGACCUCGAUCCAGUCGGUGGAGGAGAAAAAUAAGCAGCGAAUGUUUUGCAGAGUUUCGUAGCAGCGGAGAAUGAAGUUUAGUGGAAGAAUGCAGGGGAGCUCUCGGUGGCGGUGAAAUCUAGUUCAGACGGCUUCCAUAGUUGGAAGGAACUAGGUGGUGAGGGAAAAGCUCAAGGUAGUAUGACUUUCGGCAGAGUUUUGUUUGCUGGAAAUUCAACAGCUGAAACAAUGCUCAUAUAUCCAAAAGUACCACAUGAUGAGCUCGCACCGGCACCAACAAUUAGUUAUAUCAGCAGAGAAGUAUUGCAGGGACUGCCAAAGUUUCACAAAGUCAGAAUGCAGCACCGUUUGUUUUGUCAAAUAGUUG
rnacentral:lncRNA from 1 species